rnacentral:rRNA from 1 species
UACGAAGGGUGCAAGCGUUACUCGGAAUUACUGGGCGUAAAGCGUGCGUAGGCGGUUUGUUAAGUCUGUUGUGAAAGCCCUGGGCUCAACCUGGGAAUUGCAGUGGAUACUGGCAAGCUAGAGUGCGGUAGAGGAUGGUGGAAUUCCCGGUGUAGCGGUGAAAUGCGCAGAUAUCAGGAAGAACACCCGUGGCGAAAGCGGCUCUCUGGAACGGUACUGACGCUGAGACGCGAAAGCGUGGGGAGCGAACAGG